AUGGGGACGUGUUUCAUUCUGAGCGUUGUUCUGGCCGCUCUUUACGCAGGGGCGGUGCGGGGCGAUUCCGUCCAUCCCGAAAAACCUCUGGUGACUGCAGCAGAAGGAGAUACGGUGACACUCCGCUGUAACUACACUAGCAACAGCAUUGGUUAUAACGACUAUCUGUACUGGUACCGCCAGUUCCCGAACCAAACACUGCAGUACAUCCUGCGGAGAGAAACCAAGACGGACAGCGGUGUCCAUGAUAAUGCACCUUUUGCUGAGGAGAGAUUUUCAUCACAUGCCGGUGCCAGCGACACAACGUUAAACAUCACCGCCCUGGAGUGGACAGACACCGCGGUGUAUCACUGCGCCCUGCAGAGGCACGGCGACACAGUCACGGGGCAGAGCUGA